UUAGCUGAGUGUUUCUCCCAGAAUGCAAUGUGACCCUCAUUGCCACAUGGCGCUGUGGGAAUCCUGAGGGGGUGUGGAAUUGCUGACAGUACCAGGCUGAGCGAUGGGCACAGACAUGAGCUCAAAGAUGGAUGUCUCUGAUGAUUGGCGGUAUUUCUGGAUGUCUUUUGUACUUGAAGGGAGGGGCUGCUGAUGACCUGUCACGCAUGUACACCUUUUGUGAAGAGGCAGGAAGACAGAAGACUUUUGAAGGCAACAGGAUCAUUGUCACGUAAUCCUCAGAGGAGUUUGACAAUAACCUUAGCAGGAUGGAUAACUGUGCUGACUCACUGAUGUUGUUAUCCUCGACAUCUGGGACAUUAAAGAGGCACUUAUGCCGGGCUGAAAAUGAAAGUCAUGAUGCAAAUUUUUGCUUCUAACUAAAUCCCAAAGAGUCACUUGACAUUAUUUCCACAGCAGGCCUUUAUAGGAUUUACUGAUCAAUUUUUUAAUUUAAUUUCUGCACCAAUAAAAUGCAUUAGAGUCC